rnacentral:rRNA from 1 species
AUUGAACGCUGGCGGUAUGCUUAACACAUGCAAGUCGAACGAGAAAGUUUCCUUCGGGAAAUUAGUAAAGUGGCGCAAGGGUGAGUAUCACGUGAGUAAUCUGCCCUCGAGAUCGGGAUAACAUGGUGAAAACUAUGCUAAUACCGGAUAAGACCACAUUUCACAAGAAAUGCGGUAAAAGGAGUCUCAAUCUUCACUCGAGGAUGAGUUCGCGCAACAUUAGCUUGUUGGUGAGAUAAAAGCUCACCAAGGCUACGAUGUUUAGCCGGCCUGAGAGGGUGAUCGGCCACACUGGAACUGAGACACGGUCCAGACUCCUACGGGAGGCAGCAGUGGGGAAUAUUGCGCAAUGGGCGAAAGCCUGACGCAGCCACGCCCGCGUGAGGGAUG